rnacentral:rRNA from 1 species
GACGAACGCUGGCGGCGUGCCUAAUACAUGCAAGUAGAACGAGCGGCGGACGGGUGCGUAAUGUCUGGGAAACUGCCUGAUGGAGGGGGAUCACUUCUGGAAACGGUCGCUAAUACCGCAUACCCUCAGAUGUCCCCAGAUGGGAUUAGCUAGUAGGUGGGGUAAUGGCUCACCUAGGCGACGAUCCCUAGCUGGUCUGAGAGGAUGACCAGCCACACUGGAACUGAGACACGGUCCAGACUCCUACGGGAGGCAGCAGUGGGGAAUAUUGCACAAUGGGCGCAAGCCUGAUGCAGCCAUGCCGCGUGUGUGAAGAAGGCCUUCGGGUUGUAAAGCACUUUCAGCGAGGAGGCGUUACUCGCAGAAGAAGCACCGGCUAACUCCGUGCCAGCAGCCGCGGUAAUAC